UACAGAGGUGGCAAGCGUUGUUCGGAAUUACUGGGCGUAAAGCGCACGUAGGCGGCUUUGUAAGUUAGAGGUGAAAGCCCAGGGCUCAACCCUGGAAUUGCCUUUAAGACUGCAUCGCUUGAAUUGUGGAGAGGUAAGUGGAAUUCCGAGUGUAGAGGUGAAAUUCGUAGAUAUUCGGAAGAACACCAGUGGCGAAGGCGGCUCACUGGACUGGUAUUGACGCUGAGGUGCGAAAGCGUGGGGAGCAAACAGG
rnacentral:rRNA from 1 species